rnacentral:rRNA from 1 species
AUGAAGCCGCCUUUGGAAAGGAACCCAUCCAGGAAGCGCCAUUCAUGGUGGUGGGAUAGUCACAUUAGCCCCAAGAACUCAAAAUGGCUUGCAGAAAACCUCGAAGAAAUGGAUAAGCAAGUGAAGGAAAUGGUGCAGCUUAUUGAGGAAGAUGGCGACUCCUUUGCAAAGAAAGCUCAAAUGUAUUAUCAGAGGCGCCCAGUGCUCGUCACCCAUGUUGAGAACUUCUACCGGAUGUACCGCGCUUUAGCUGAGCGCUACGACAAUGUUACCGGUGAACUGCGCAAGAACAUCCCUUCAAGGAUGCAGUCCCAAGGAUCGUUAUCCGGCUCUGAGUUCGGUUCAGAGCUGCAAAGGUCGCCCACACCAUCUCCUGAGCCACAGAAGUCCUGGACAAGGGAGCAGAGCCCUAGAGCCGCCGGUUUCGAUUUCUUUCUGAGUAACAAGAGCAAUGACUCACCAUCCUCAAGGAAGGAGCCUGAGUCAGCUUCACAGUCAGAAUCCGACAUGAAGUCUGAGGAUGGCGACGAUGAUGGCAUUGCCUACACAUUGCACCAGAGAGUUCUCGAGCUCGAGGACGAUCUCAACGCCGCGAACCGGAAGCUGCUUGAUGCAAACGAAAAGCUCGAGGUUUUCGAGGAGAAGAGCCUGAGGUGCCAUUGCGAUUAUAUGGAAAAUGGAAAUGGCUCCGAUCAUGCUCCCAAAAUUACAGACAUCAAUGGAGAGUUCGCGUCAACUAAGGAGAGGCUACAAUCUUCACAAGUGGAGAUCAACACUCUCGAAAGGAGGCUCGAGGACGCCGCAAUUUUAUCAGAAGAGCACUCUAGGCUGCUGGAACAAAACAAGGGACUGGAAGCUGAAAUCGUCAGUCUGAAGGAAGAAAUGGCUUCAGCGAGACGGCGUUUCGACGACAAACUAUCCGAGAGCGACGCCGAGAUCAGCAAGUACAGGCAAGAGCUUGCUGCUGCAUCUCAGAAGCUGCUGCAGGAGAAGUCCACCAACAGUGCAGAGGUGGGUAAGCUGCAAGAGACUAUCCGGAUCAGCAGUCGCGAGCUGGAAAAAGUUUCUGAAGAGAAAUCUCUGGUGGAGCAGCAGGUGAAGGAGCUGGAGGAGGCGAACGCCGAAGCCGAAAGGCAGAGGCAGGAGCUCGUCCAUGCCGCCGAAAUGCUGUCGGAGGACAAGUUCAGACACGAAGCUGAGAUCCUGACGAUGCAGCAGAGCAUCGAGGACCUGAAGCCGAAACUCGAGAGCAUCGCAAGAGAGAAAACGCUGCUGAAACUCUGGUUCGCGGAUCUGGAGCGUGUCGUGGAGCGAGGAAGGAGCGUCGUCAUUCCCCCGGAAUAA